rnacentral:rRNA from 1 species
AUUGAACGCUGGCGGCAUGCCUUACACAUGCAAGUCGAACGGUAACGGGCCUUCGGGUGCCGACGAGUGGCGGACGGGUGAGUAAUACAUCGGAACGUGCCCGAUCGUGGGGGGUAACGGGGCGAAAGCUUUGCUAAUACCUCAUACGAUCUACGGAUGAAAGCAGGGGACCGCAAGGCCUUGCGCGGACGGUGCGGCCGAUGGCAGAUUAGGUAGUUGGUGGGAUAAAAGCUUACCAAGCCGACGAUCUGUAGCUGGUCUGAGAGGAUGAUCAGCCACACUGGGACUGAGACACGGCCCAGACUCCUACGGGAGGCAGCAGUGGGGAAUUUUGGACAAUGGGCGCAAGCCUGAUCCAGCCAUGCCGCGUGCAGGAUGAAGGCCUUCGGGUUGUAAACUGCUUUUGUACGGAACGAAAAGCCUUCUUUUAAUACAGGAGGGUCAUGACGGUACCGUAAGAAUAAGCACCGGCUAACUACGUG